GGCGGUCGCUCCGUGCGAACGGAGAGGAAAGUCCGGACCCCACAGGGCAAGGAGUCCUUUAUAAAAUAAGGAUACCAUGGACCAGAUUCCAUGGGAAGGAAAGCGCAGCAGAAAAUAAACCGCCGGAGCAAUCCGGCAAGGGUGAAAAGGCGGGGUAAGAGCCCGCCGCGGCCUCAAGUAAUUGAGCCGGCAGUGCAAGCCCCUCCCGGAGCAAGGCCAAAUAGGGAAUGAGCCGCGGCCCGCGGCGUUUGAAUUCCGGGUUCUGGCCGCAUAGACAGAUGAUCGCCACCCGCAAGGGAACAGAAUCCGGCUUAUGCC
rnacentral:RNase_P_RNA from 1 species